rnacentral:rRNA from 1 species
CUACGUGCCAGCAGCCGCGGUAAUACGGAAGGUCCAGGCGUUAUCCGGAUUUAUUGGGUUUAAAGGGAGCGUAGGCUGGAGAUUAAGUGUGUUGUGAAAUGUAGACGCUCAACGUCUGAAUUGCAGCGCAUACUGGUUUCCUUGAGUACGCACAACGUUGGCGGAAUUCGUCGUGUAGCGGUGAAAUGCUUAGAUAUGACGAAGAACUCCGAUUGCGAAGGCAGCUGACGGGAGCGCAACUGACGCUUAAGCUCGAAGGUGCGGGUAUCAAACAGGAUUAGAUACCCUGGUAGUCCGCACAGUAAACGAUGGAUGCUCGCUGUUGGCCUUUGUGGUCAGUGGCUUAGCGAAAGCGUUAAGCAUCCCACCUGGGGAGUACGCCGGCAACGGUGAAACUCAAAGGAAUUGACGGGGGCCCGCACAAGCGGAGGAACAUGUGGUUUAAUUCGAUGAUACGCGAGGAACCUUACCCGGGCUUGAACUGCAGCUGAACGAUUCAGAGAUGAU